GGCCUACUGAGGGCACUUUUUGUUUGCCUAUAGCUGCCAGGGUCAGGGCCACCCAGACCAGGUUCCCUACAUCCCCGUCUGGAAAGAUCUUGUUGAAAACCCUCCACCCUAUCUUCCCCCUCCCCUUGCACCCCAGGCCCUUCCGCAGCGGCCGCCCCACCUGUUGCCCCGCUGGUUGCCCCUCAAGGGGAACCAGGGGGGGGGGCGGGAAGCGGCAGCUGUGCCAGAACCAGGGAGGCUACAGGCAGCAGCCGUGCCUAGCCCUGUUAAAAAUAAAACCAACCGUGAAGGGCCAGCCGGCCAAACUCGCGGGCGCACCCAGUGUGAGCCAAGCUCUCGCCUCCCCCACUCCACUGUAGCCUUACCCCUGCGGGAAAUAGGACCCCCCGAUGAAACGGGCAAUCCCCGACUCCAGUAUUGGUCCUUCUCCACCAGUGACCUAUAUAAUUAAAAAACCCAAAAUGCUCGGUUUUCUGAUAACCCUAGAGAUCUUAUAGCCCUCCUAGAGAGCAUAAUGUUCACCCACCAGCCUACCUGGGAUGACUGCCAACAGCUUUUGCGAAUCCUGUUCACCACGGAAGAAAGGGAGAGAAUUCAACUUGAAGCGCGGAAGCUGGUCCCGGAGGAAGAUGGUCGACCCACUGUUAACCCUGACCUCAUUAAUGCAGCGUUUCCCCUGACUCGGCCUGAUUGGGACUACAACUCGGCAGAAGGUAGGGGACGACUGCUCAUUUAUCGCCAGACUCUAAUGGCGGGUCUCCGGGCUGCAGCACGCAAGCCCACCAAUUUGGCCAAGGUGUACUCGGCAAUACAAGAUCCAUGGAACAAGGAAAGAUCUACAGGACCGGCCAUUACCUGAUGCUGAGGUCACCUGGUUUACUGACGGAAGCAGCUUCGUCCAUCAAGGACAGAGGUAUGCGGUAUGCGGGGGCAGCAGUGACAUCUGAGACUGAAGUGAUAUGGGCAGAGGCUCUGCCCAUAGAGACUUAUGCCCAAAGGGCAGAACUAAUUGCAUUGACCCAAGCAUUAAGAAUGGGGCGGGACCGCAAAGUGACUGUAUAUACAGACAGCCGGUAUGCCUUUGCCACGGCCCAUAUACAUGGGGCAAUAUACCGUGAGAGGGGACUACUCACUGCUAAAGGCAAAGACAUCAGAAAUAAAGAUAAAAUUCUGGCCCUAUUGGCCGCUAUUUGGGCCCCUAAAAAACUGACUAACCUCGCUGACCAGACUGCAUGCCAGGUAGCACAAAACCCCAUUCAAGUACUCCCUGCGCAGCUACCAGACCCAGGGCCCCGAGAUUUACCCCCAUAGCCUGAAUACUCAGAAGAUGAUCUUAUCUGGAUGCGCGAGUUCCCCAUGACCCAAGUUACAGACGGAUGGUGGAGGGACUCCAGAGACCGCCUUAUCCUUCCCGAAAAAUUGGGCCACGCAAUCCUGACAAAAAUACUCCAGAACGUGCACCCACACGCCACAGCCCAAGGCCACUGAAAAAGAGGAACCAUACCAGGAGCCCACUGGGAAGUGGACUUCACCGAGGUAAAGCCCGGCAAAUACGGCUAUAAAUACUUAGUGUUCGUAGACACUUUUUCAG